UUACAACCAGCCAAAGGGAAUGACAUGAAAGCUGAAGUCCAGGAAGGUCCCAAUGUGAAGUUUCCAGUCGUUCUCUCACCAUGCAGUCCUAGACAGCGUUACUUCCUCCUGGCUACAAUGUGUGAUAAUAGUCAAAGUGGGUCAUCAACCAGGGAGGCUCACCUGAGCCUUUGGCAUCCAGCGUUUUUAUUGGAGCUCAAUCACAUACCGCUUUUGUGUUUACCCUCCUGGAGGCCAGAACUGGGGCUGGUGCUGUUGAUGCUCCACUCAGAUUCCAAGUAUCACUUUGACUGGCUUGUUGAGCACAUUCCCAAACUGCCACCUACAUUGCCGCUGCUGAUUCACACCUAUAACCUUCUUUGGAGAACUUUCCUUGGGCAUUUGUAGCUGCUUUGCUUGCUUUGCGUGUAUACUAUUUCUGUUGAGAAGUCAGCUGUCAGUCUGAUUGUUGCACCUUUGAAGAGAUGUGGCUGGCCACAGUUAGAUGGUGGACUUCUUUCAGAAGCAGAUCUAUUGCACACAGAGAAGACUACCAACGAAUGUGAUUACAUUAUUAAGCCAGGAACACCUCCAGAUAUUUGGUGACCUAACUUUUUUCUUUUGUUUUCAAGACAUAAAGUCUACAAGUGUCUGUGAGAGUGAAGAAAAGUCAUUGUAGCUAAAGGUUCAUCCAAAUAAUGAUGAUUUAAAAAAUCAUAUCGGUCAUUUUAGCAUGUUUUAUAAACUAAUAAUCUAAAUUGAUGAAUGAAGCAGGUGCAUACAUUGUUUUAAUUAACAACAGCUGUGUUAUAGCAACAUUAUAGGAGCUUAUUAUGGCAUCAUUUAUUAAGAAUAUGUUUCCAAGUCAUUUUGUAACAUGCAUUAUAAAAAGUUAUUAAAAGAU
rnacentral:lncRNA from 1 species